GGAACGAACGCUGGCGGCAGGCUUAACACAUGCAAGUCGAACGGGUGUCGCAAGACAUCAGUGGCAGACGGGUGAGUAACACGUGGGAACCUUCCUCGGGGUACGGAACAACGCAGGGAAACUUGCGCUAAUACCGUAUACGUCCGUGAGGAGAAAGAUUUAUCGCCCUGAGACGGGCCCGCGUCGGAUUAGCUAGUUGGUGGGGUAACGCCUACCAAGGCGACGAUCCGUAGCUGAUCUUAGAGGAUGAUCAGCCACACUGGGACUGAGACACGGCCCAGACUCCUACGGGAGGCAGCAGUGGGGAAUCUUGGACAAUGGGCGCAAGCCUGAUCCAGCCAUGCCGCGUGAGUGAAGAAGGUCUUCGGAUUGUAAAGCUCUUUUACCAGGGACGAUAAUGACGGUACCUGGAGAAUAAGCCCCGGACAAACUUCGUGCCAGCAGCCGC
rnacentral:rRNA from 1 species